AGGGGAAUAUUGCACAAUGGGCGCAAGCCUGAUGCAGCCAUGCCGCGUGUAUGAAGAAGGCCUUCGGGUUGUAAAGUACUUUCAGCGGGGAGGAAGGCGAUAAGGUUAAUAACCUUGUCGAUUGACGUUACCCGCAGAAGAAGCACCGGCUAACUCCGUGCCAGCAGCCGCGGUAAUACGGAGGGUGCAAGCGUUAAUCGGAAUUACUGGGCGUAAAGCGCACGCAGGCGGUCUGUCAAGUCGGAUGUGAAAUCCCCGGGCUCAACCUGGGAACUGCAUUCGAAACUGGCAGGCUAGAGUCUUGUAGAGGGGGGUAGAAUUCCAGGUGUAGCGGUGAAAUGCGUAGAGAUCUGGAGGAAUACCGGUGGCGAAGGCGGCCCCCUGGACAAAGACUGACGCUCAGGUGCGAAAGCGUGGGGAGCAAACA
rnacentral:rRNA from 1 species